rnacentral:pre_miRNA from 1 species
CAUGUAUUCCCUCCGUCCAGAAUUACUUGUCACAUAAAUGGAUGUAUCUAGAACUAAAAAUACGUCUAGAUACAUCCAUCUCUGCGACAAGUAAUUCCGGACGGAGGGUGUAGAAG